rnacentral:lncRNA from 1 species
AGCAGCCCUUGCUCAGGCGGCAUGCUCUCAGUUCUGUUUGCUCACGCCCGCAGUAGGGUACAUGAAUUUUAACCAGGAGGAGUGAUGUAGUAAACAGAAUAAAAGGACCACAAGUAAGAGAAGUGGCAAGAACAAUGAGGGAAAACUUUUCUUUAUUGCGUGGUUGUUUAUAGAAUGAAGACCUGGAUUUGUUCUAUCUGAUGCUUCCUCAUUUCUUAAGAACACAAGGAAAAUUAUGAAUGUGACAUCUUCGAAGGAGGCGACAACAGGUUUGGACGUGCCUACACAUUCACGUCUAAAUUCCCUAACCAGGAGUACGAAGACUUUCAUAAAAUCUGUCUCUAGUCUUCCUGACUGACCUCAUCUACGGCUCAUCCCCAAAUCUCCAGACCAGCACAGUGCCUGACAGAGUUUUGCCAAAUGAUGAAGAAACCAGGGAGAUGGCUGCCAAUGCAGGACUGGAGGCAAUUUUUGGAACAUGAUAAACAUUGAAUUUUAUAUAGAAUAUUUCCAGGCACACAGUAAGUGAUUGAUAAGAGUGACUUGUGUCUUCUACCCCACAACCUAAAUCUAAAAAUGUCUGAGAUCUUCUGGUAGUCCCAUAUACCUAUCUAAAUGUAACUCCAUAUGAAAAUCAAAACACAAUGUAGUGGUUUGCAUUAAAGCAUUGGAUAAGUGUCUUGUGACUGAUUCAUGGCUUGAAUACAUAGCAAGAAUGAAUUAAGAAAUGAAUUCAUUGUCUCAUAGGCAAAAACAAAUGACUUUUAUAUUCCUUUUCAGUUCUGAUUUUAAAUUGUGACUCCUGGAGUUGCAUAACUACUAAAAGUAGUUUUAAAUAUAUAAUCCUGCUAAUUUAGAAUGCUUUUUUUUUUUACAGAUGAUUUUUAUAAAUAUCCUUGAUUUGUUGAUGAGAAAAGUAACAUUUUCCGUGUGAUGGUCUUUUCAUGAAUUUCUAUAGAAGCUCCUACCUGAAAUCUCUUUCUUAAUCUCUUUUCCUCUUUCUCUCUGGGGAGCCAUUCUUCUAAAAGACCUACUUCUUCUAGAGAAACAAUUACAUUUAACAAAGGACAAGGACUAAUACCAUUACCAUGUAUAUCCUUG